rnacentral:rRNA from 1 species
AUUGAACGCUAGCGGGAUGCCUUACACAUGCAAGUCGAACGGAGUGGCGAACGGGUGAGUAAUGCAUAGGAAUCUGCCUAGUAGUGGGGGAUAACUACCGGAAAGGGUAGCUAAUACCGCAUACUAUUGGAGCGGCCGAUAUCGGAUUAGCUAGUUGGGGGGGUAAAGGCUUACCACGGCGACGAUCCGUAGCUGGUCUGAGAGGAUGACCAGCCACACGGGAACUGAGACACGGCCCAGACGCCUACGGGAGGCAGCAGUGGGGAAUAUUGGACAAUGGGGGAAACCCUGAUCCAGCCAUGCCGCGUGUGUGAUGAAGGUCUUCGGAUUGUAAAGCACUUUUAGCGGGGAGGCGGUACCUGCAGAAUAAGCACCGGCUAACUACGUGCCAGCAGCCGCGGUAAUUC